GAUGAACGCUGGCGGCGUGCCUAAUACAUGCAAGUCGAGCGAACAGACAAGGAGCUUGCUCCUCUGACGUUAGCGGCGGACGGGUGAGUAACACGUGGAUAACCUACCUAUAAGACUGGGAUAAUUUCGGGAAACCGGAGCUAAUACCGGAUAAUAUAUUGAACCGCAUGGUUCAAUAGUGAAAGACGGUUUUGCUGUCACUUAUAGAUGGAUCCGCGCCGCAUUAGCUAGUUGGUAAGGUAACGGCUUACCAAGGCAACGAUGCGUAGCCGACCUGAGAGGGUGAUCGGCCACACUGGAACUGAGACACGGUCCAGACUCCUACGGGAGGCAGCAGUAGGGAAUCUUCCGCAAUGGGCGAAAGCCUGACGGAGCAACGCCGCGUGAGUGAUGAAGGUCUUCGGAUCGUAAAACUCUGUUAUUAGGGAAGAACAAAUGUGUAAGUAACUAUGCACGUCUUGACGGUACCUAAUCAGAAAGCCACGGCUAACUACGUG
rnacentral:rRNA from 1 species